rnacentral:rRNA from 1 species
GCCUAUCAGCUUGUUGGUGGGGUAAUGGCCUACCAAGGCGACGACGGGUAGCCGACCUGAGAGGGUGACCGGCCACACUGGGACUGAGACACGGCCCAGACUCCUACGGGAGGCAGCAGUGGGGAAUAUUGCACAAUGGGCGAAAGCCUGAUGCAGCGACGCCGCGUGAGGGAUGAAGGCCUUCGGGUUGUAAACCUCUUUCAGCAGGGACGAAGCGCAAGUGACGGUACCUGCAGAAGAAGCACCGGCUAACUACGUGCCAGCAGCCGCGGUAAUACGUAGGGUGCGAGCGUUGUCCGGAAUUACUGGGCGUAAAGAGUUCGUAGGCGGUUUGUCGCGUCGUUUGUGAAAACCCGGGGCUCAACUUCGGGCUUGCAGGCGAUACGGGCAGACUUGAGUGUUUCAGGGGAGACUGGAAUUCCUGGUGUAGCGGUGAAAUGCGCAGAUAUCAGGAGGAACACCGGUGGCGAAGGCGGGUCUCUGGGAAACAACUGACGCUGAGGAACGAAAGCGUGGGUAGCAAACAGGAUUAGAUACCCUGGUAGUCCACGCCGUAAACGGUGGGCGCUAGGUGUGGGUUCCUUCCACGGAAUCUGUGCCGUAGCUAACGCAUUAAGCGCCCCGC